CUGCUGGCGGCCCCUUGUGAGACUUCACAGAGGGCCUCUCCUUGAGCCCAGGCAGGCCCUGGAGCAGUUCCAUCUUACCAGCAGAGUGAGAUUUUUAUUCUAUUGCGGAAAGUGAAUACUUUUGAAUAUAUUAUUCUUAUACGGAUUGAUAGUUUCCUGUAUCCCUCACUCCCCUGCAACGGGAUUGCUGGGGUCAGCCCUCUGCUGGCGGCCCCUUGUGAGACUUCACAGAGGGCCUCUCCUUGAGCCCAGGCAGGCCCUGGAGCAGUUCCAUCUUACCAGCAGAGUGAGGUUUCAUUCUAGUGCGGAAAAUGAAUAUUUUGGGAUAUAUUGUUAUUAUAACAAAGUCAGGUGUUCAUGCUUUCCGGUACCUGCUAAACAAAAUUACUUGUUAUUUUGGAAGGUGAGAGCCAAAAAUCCGUAUUCUUACUUUGGUGACUAAAGACAUGUCAUAGCAAAACAGGAAUGUUGCUGAGGGGCCAGCACUUAGCUUUGCCCCUUCUUUGAAAUCUCCUUUUUUAUUUCUGCUUUGUUCUUUUUUACUUUGUUCUCCGUCCCCCACCCCCAUAGUUGAUCCUCUUUCACAUUGUAAAGUUUUGACUUUAAAAAUCUUGACAAAACUGUAUACUUCUUUUAAACUGGGAAAUUAAGCCGAAACUUUACCUCCUUUGUUGGAAAUGUGUCAAACAUA